rnacentral:lncRNA from 1 species
UUGGCUUAAUCACAAUCUAAAACAGUUAAGAGAAUUUCGGUAGCAUGUAAAACCGUAUGAAGUAUGUUUAUUCUCAUGAAUUUAUUACCCAAAAUGGUAUGAUGUACAAUAUUAAUGUUGGAAACUUAAAUUUCCUCUCAUAAGUGACCUCUCAAGCCUGACAUUAAGACACUGAAGUAGAACCAACAUAAAGCAUACUUAGUAAAAGCAGUGCACACAUGCGCACUUGGGAGGCUGAGGCUGGUGGGUCACUAGAACCCAGGAGAUCAGGAGCAACCUGGGCAAUAUAAUGAAACCUCUUAUCAAAAAAAAUACUUUAAAAUUACUUAAUAAAUUGUACUAACUAUUGGCGUCUUAAGUUAGUGAGUAGAAAAGGUUUAUCCAAUAAAUGGAGACCAAAAAAAAAAAAAAAAAUAGCUCACACACACAUUUUACACACAUGACUCUACACAGACAACUGUACUUCAAAUGGACCAACUUAAAGUCGGUGCAGACCUGAAGUACAUACAGUGCAAGGGUGCUUGGCUAGCACAAGUGAAGCCCGAUGUUGUACUUUAGUACUGAGAAAAAAAGAUUUCAAUGCAAAGCAUAAAGCCACAAAUGAGCCAGAAUAAAGUCUGGAAAGCUGAGUGUGAUGACUCACAUCUACAGCCCAGCAGUCCUGUGAAAAGGCAGGGGAAUCACAUAAAAGUGUGAGCCACUCCAGGCUACAAAACAAAACCUCCUCUAAAAGAAACAAAACAAAAACAAACAAACAAAAGAACGGAAUAACUAGUUUUACUAAUAAUCAGUAAAAUAUAAAAAAGAGGGACCAUUCUUCGCCAAAUUUGCAGGCCAGGCACGGUGGUAUGCGCCUUUAAUCCCAGCUCUCAGGAAGCAGAGGCAGAGGCUGACAGAUCUCUAUGGUUACCUUGUCUCGAUAAAUAAGUAUAUAAAUAAGUUAAAAACCAAAAGUUAUAAAGAAUGGAGUUGUCAAGGCAUGGUAAGACUUUAUGAAACCAAGGGCUCUGAUGCAUUAAUGUGAACAGUGAAACUGGAAACAUCUCUAUAAAAAAUACUAUGAUAGAACUCAUAAACACUUGGCAAAUUCUCACUUAUUAAGUAACUUUGGCCACAGUUUUAUCUUAAAUAAACUAAGUGUUUGAGGAUAGAGCUGUGUGACUAUCUGUGUUUACAUUUAUAUAAGUAUUCAUCUAAGGUUUAGAAUAAAUUAGAAAAUCUACACAGGAGAUUUAAAAAACAAAAAACAAAAAACCAUUGAGGCCAGCAUAGAUUUCAGGCCAGCCUGUCUCAAACAGCAACAACUAAAGAGAAGCCUGGAGAAACGGCAUCCUUGUCAGGUUACCCAGACUCUGGCAGCUGGGUCUCCCACUCCCUCUUCUGGCUUCUGUGGGCAGCUACACACAUGUACACAUGCCCACACAGACACCCAUACAUACACAAAAUUUGAAUAAAUGCAAUUCCUAUUUUUCUAGGAAUUCCUGUGUAAAAUUUCAAACUAGCAAACAACUAAAACUACUUAAAUGAACACAAUGUAUUUAUUUUAUACUAUAACAUUAUAGAUAUACUAGCUUUAUGUAUAUAUGUAUAUAUAGUUAUAUUAUAGUUAUAUACUAUAACUAGCAUAGACACAGUUUCUUUCAGAAAAAAAGAUAAUUAACAAUUACCUUCAUCCCCAAAGUGGAGCAGACUAAGUCAAUGAUAGCACUAAGCUGGUUGCUAUGGAAAUACAUGGCCACCAAUAGCAACAUCUCCCCAAAAGAAGCAGAGACACCUGAUGUACUGUUAAAACAGAAGAAAAGCUAUGAGUUCCAAGGAGGAAUAAGUAAGAAAAGCUUUCUCAACUGAGAGGAACAAUGGCUGCUUGCCCUACCUCUCAAAGUACGCCUCUUCCUUGAUCAUCCAGCUGAGCCACAGCACCAUCAGCUGCUCCUGCUCCGGCGUGCUGCAGAGACACCAUGGCACCACGUCACCAGAGCGUGGCGACAACACGCUGAAAGACACUUUUCCUCAUUCUUUUUUUUUUUUUUUUUAAGAUCUAUUUAUUGUUAUUUGUAAGUACACUGUAGCUGUCUUCAGACACACCAGAAGAGGGCAUCAGAUCUCAUUACCGAUGGUUGUGAGCCACCAUGUGGUUGCUGGGAUUUGAACUCAGGCCCUUCGGAAGGGCAGUCGGUGCUCUUACCAGCUGAGCCAUCUCACUAGCACCCAGCUUUUCCUCAUUCUUAAAGACUUAUUUAUUCUUAUUUGGUAUGUACAAGAAUAUUGCCUGUUUGUACCAUGUGCAUGCCUGCUGCCCUCAGAUCCCCUGGAACUAGUGUUUCGGAUGCUUCUGAGCCACUGUGUUGGUGCUGGGAACUGAACCCAGGGCCUCUGCAAGAGCAUGAACUGUUAUUACCCCUGAGCCAUCUCUCCAGCCCUGAAAUUAUUUUUCCUAGGAGGUUUUUUUCUUCUCUACUUUGAAAUACCAACUCAAAUUAAUGGUUUGCUGAAUUUGACUACUAACUACAAACAAGAUGAGAACUCAAAGAUGGAGACUUUGCCUUCAUCAACCUGAACUGUCAAAACCUCCUCAAUUCUAUAUAUUUGUAAAUUGAAGAGAGUGGCAUUCCCUCUUAUUCCUUGGAAAAACAAAGGAAGGUCUCUGGGAUUAAAAUGUUAAAAGAACUAUAUUAAGAACGCUAACCAGUUACUUCCUAUAGGAAAGAUUUUAAAGAUCUAAAGUUAAAGCAUAAGCAUCACGUUUGGUGAGAGACAGAGGAAAGCAGGUCUCUAUGACUUCAAAACUAGCCUGGUCUACAUGGUAAGACCCUGUUUCAAAAGAACAAAAACGAGU